rnacentral:rRNA from 1 species
UUCGCAAUGCCCGAAAGGGUGACGAAGCGACGCCGCGUGGGUGAGGAAGGCCUUCGGGUUGUAAAGCCCUGUCAGGAGUUAAGAAAUGUAGACUCGCUAAUAACGGGUCUAUUUGACAAAGGCUCCAAAGGAAGCCACGGCUAACUCUGUGCCAGCAGCCGCGGUAAUACAGAGGUGGCAAAUGUUGUUCGGAAUUAUUGGGCGUAAAGAGCACGUAGGUGGAUUUGUAAGUCAGACGUGAAAGCCUUCUGUUCAACGGGAGAAUUGCAUCUGAAACUACAAACCUUGAGUGUAGGAGGGGAGAAUGGAACUUCUGGUGGAGCGGUGAAAUGCGUAGAUAUCAGAAGGAACGCCGGCGGCGAAAGCGAUUCUCUGGCCUAUUACUGACACUCAGUGUGCGAAAGCUAGUGGAGCAAACGGGAUUAGAUACCCCGGUAGUCCUAGCCGUAAACGAUGGGCACUAAGUAGAGGGGUUUU